UCCCCAGUAGCUCAGUGGUGGAGCGCUCGGCUGUUAACCGAUAGGUCGUAGGUUCGAAUCCUACCUGGGGAGCCA
rnacentral:tRNA from 1 species